rnacentral:lncRNA from 1 species
AACAAUAUGAGUAAUGUAUCCAUAUGUUAAAUCAACAGACAAACAACACCGAGAGCCACUUGGAACCGAACUUUAACACAAACGACAUCGUAGUAUCACUAAUCGUGGCACUCCGUCGGUUACGACGACGAGGGUUCCAGUUGAUCCGAUCAACGGAACAGCCUGCUCGUGAGACUAACGUGCAAGAGGCUGAGCAAUACGCAGACACGUGAACCCUUAACGGAGUGUGACAAAGCUGGCCCUUUGAAAUACAUGUACAACAGAAACAGGAAGAAAGAUUGAGAGAAAGUUGUAGUGAAAGAGCACAGCAGGAUUCGCCAUCACCCCCUGCCGAAACCCCGUGGAGCUUCAGGUGUUUUGCUCAAUGAACAUUCACAACACUCGGUCUGGGAAUCGAAAUCGCGAUCCUAUGUCAGCGAGUCCGCUGCCCUAACCACUGGGCCAUUGUGCCUCCACAGCAUCACUAAUACAUUAGAUGAGAAAGAUAAACUUUUCUUGGCAUCUCAUUAGUCUAUUUAGAGCAAAAUUGAAACAAAAUUGGUAUAUUUUUGCUACAGGGCAGUAAGCGUGCAUUUAAUAAUGAUCCAAUAUCGAAUGUGAACAACAAACAUUUGGAUGCAGUCUCUUACUCUCAUGCGUCCACGUAAACACAUUUACAUACAACUACAAGAAUAUCGUGAUCUAUACAAAUGUUAUUAGCUGUGGUGUGUGUGUGUGUGUGUGUGUGUGUGUGUGUGUGUGUGUGUGUGUGUGUGUGUGUGUGUGUGUGUGUGCGCGCGUGUGUGUAGGUUGGUGUGUUUGUGUGUUGUGUGUGCGUUGUGCGCAUGGGCACAUAUAUUUGUGUCUAUGUCUGUAUGGAGAUAUGAAGAAAACAGUGUCUGUCUGUCAAAUUUAUCUAUCACAUGGUUAUAUUUGUAUCUGUGUCUGUGUAUAUUUGUAUCCAAUGUAUGCAAAUCUGUAUAUGUAUAAACACACACACACAACCACACAUGAAUAUAUGAAUAUAUAUACAUAUACAUAUAUGCAUAUAUAUAUGCGCACACAUAUCAUUAUUAUAUAUAUAUGUUUAUAUAUAUAUAUAUAUGUAUAUAUAUAUGUUUAUAUACAUAUACAUACAUACAUACAUAUAUAUAUAUAUAUAUAUAUAUAUACAUAUAUGCAUAUAUAUAUAUAUAUAUAUGUUUAUAUAUAGAGACGAUAAGAAGUGGAGCAAUUUACUGUGAGAAAUGGAUAAUUGGUCAUUAUUAAUGAAGAUGAGAGUAUGUUUAUAUAUAUAUAUAUAUAUAUAUAUAUAUAUAUAUAUACAUGCAUAUAUAUAUAUGUUUAUAUAUAGAGACGAUAAGAAGUGGAGCAAUUUACUGUGAGAAAUGGAUAAUUGGUCAUUAUUAAUGAAGAUGAGAGUAUGUUUACAACUAUAUAUAUAUAUAUAUAUAUAUAUAUAUAUAUAUAUAUAUAUAUAUAUAUAUAUAUAUAUCUGUUUAUGUAUAUAUAUAUAUGUAUAUAUAUGUAUAUAAACGUAUAUAUGUUUAUAUAUGUAUAUAUAUAUGUUUAUAUAUAUAUUCUACUUAAUGUGGCUGCAUUAGUAAAACGUCAAAUACUGCGGUAUUCGCCUUCAGAGCCCUUUUUCAUAUAGACAUACGGUGCUAAGGGCACAGAGAUAUAUAUUAGUGCUCUUGGCACGAGAGGAUCUCUGAAGGCAUUCUAAUAAUACCUCUAUGUUAAGUAGGAGAUAAAGAUUGCUUUUCGGUAUCAAUUUUGCUUCCGUUACUGGUAUUUGAUACAUAUAUGUGUGUGAGUGUGUGUGUGUGUGUGCGUGUGCGUGUGUGUGUGUGUGUGUGUGUGUGUGUGUGUGUGCGUGCGUGUGUGUGUAUUAUAUAAUACUAUAAUAGACAUAAAUAUAUACAGGUAGAGAGGGAGAGAGAUGGAGAGAGAGAGAAGAGAGGGAGAGAGAGAGAGAGCAAGUGAGAGGUCGGGAGGUUGGCAUAUCUAUCUAUCUAUCUAUCUAUCUAUCUAUCUAUCUAUCUAUCUAUCUAUCUAUCUAUCUAUCUAUCUAUCUAUCUAUCUAUAUCUCUCUCUCUCUCUCUCUCUAUAUAUAUAUAUAUAUAUAUAUAUAUAUAUAUUAAAACGGCUAGCUGGCCGAAACGUUAGCGCCCCGGGCGUAAUGCUUCGUGGUAUUUCAUUUGCCGCUACGUUCUGAGUUCAAAUUCCGCCGAGGUCGACUUUACCCUUCACCCUUUCGGGGUCGAUUAAAUAAGUACCAGUUACACACUGGGGUCGAUGUCAUCGACUUAAUCCGUUUGUCUGUCCUUGUUUGUCCCCUCUUUGUGUAGCCCCUUGUGGGCAGUAAAGAAAUAAGUAUAUAUAUCUAGCGCCCCAUUUCUGGUUUGACCGACGAUAUUUUUCGGUAAAAUUUACUCGGGGAUGGCGUAGUGGAUAAAGGUGUUUAUUAAUGCAGUGCAAAUUCCAUGUAAGACACUGAAGUGAAUCAUAAGACACCUGAAGAAGGCUAGUGCGUGCACACCCGAAACAUAGUGAAAGCAACAAUCAAGAAGCGGACACCACUCCGACUAAUGUAAAUAAUGUACAUGAUAUUUUCCUGCUCUUGUUAUGUUUCACCUCCAAAGCUCAGAAGCUAACAAAUUUAAGUGCGAAAGAUCAGCUAGUUUGCCAUGCUCGUUGAGACCAUUGAAAAAGAAUGCGAUCACGAUGCCAGUCUGAUGAUGAGGCUGGGGAGGUCUUGAAACUCCAAUGAGUCAAUAGAUGGAGAAAGGUUGUUGUUAUAAACUAAUCACAAUGAUUAAUAAGUUAAUGGGAAAGAUCUUUAAUGAGAAUUAGAAUUGAAUAUAAUUGUAUCAGUAACAAUAUUCUAUAUAAGUGCACUUAUAGCUAUAGUUAAUCCAAACAUGAAAACACAAAGAGAAAACACAACAACGCGAGGACGUGGAACAAAUAUAGUAUUAUUGGACGCUCAGGAAGGAAGGAAAGAAGGAGGGUUUAACGUUUCGAGCGGAGCUCUUCGUCAGAAACAUAUAUAUACACUUACAUAUAUAUAUGUAUGUAUAUAUAUACAUACACAUACACAUAUGUCAAUAUACAUACAUAUACAUAUACACACAUGCAUAUAUAUGUAUGUAUGCAUGUAUGUAUGUAUAUGCACGUAUUAUAGAGAAUAAAGAUAGACAAGCAAAGAACAGGUCUCUGGUCAGAUUUAUAUCUAUAUUUAUACUACAUAUUGGGAUAAAGGAAUCCAUAAAGGAAUAUAAGUCACAGAUCACAUGCCUGCGUCAAAUGUUGAAUUUAUAGCCGGAGUUUAGGCACAGAUUCGACCUGAGAGCUAACUGUAUGCGCCUAUUAUCUUACGUCAUUUGACAUCAUAUAACCUAUAAUUUAUAGUUGGGUCGGUAGAAUGUUAUACAUAUAUUUAUGCAUACAUAUGAUCGUAUAUUUGUAUUACAUAAAUGUGUGCACCUGCAUAGUCAUAUGCUUAUACUGGUGUCAGUUCGCCGUCAAUUUAUGUAUCUGCAUAUUUUCAUAAAUACACACUUACAUAUUUACAUUCAUACAUAGUGUUCACGAGUUUGAUAUUCGACACACGUUAAAUGCAGCGAGCUGGCAGAAUCAUUAGAACGCCAGACAAAAUGCUUUGCAGCAUUUCGUUCUGAGUUCAAAUUCCGUUGCGGUCGACUUUACCUUUCAUCCUUUCGAGGUCGAUAAAAUAAGUACCAGUUGAGUACUAAGAUCGAUGUAAUCGACUUAACCCCUCCCCGAAGUUGCUGGCCUCGUGCCAAAAAUUUCCACCAGUAUUUGGCUCAUGGUCCAUUUGCAAUGGAUCUCUUUCUCUUCUAGUAUCUAGAAUCCCAGUGGCUACAAUAUCCAAUCGCAGUACAGAGCCCAUCUGUGGCAUACACAUUUCAUGUGUCUGACUUACCACCUGCAGAUGGAGUUUUCGUCUGCCAUCCAACGAAUCUCUACUGGGUACAUGUACUUUAAUUUUCGUAACUGCAUAUGGCCGACUUAGUAUGAUACUGAGUAACCAGCCGAGAAGUUGUUGGUUCUAAUCUCGUACAUAUAUUUAUAUAGCACAAUCCAUCUAAUCCCAAGUAGGUUGUUGUAAUCAUUGCCUAAUCUCAGAUAAACCUUCAGCAAAUUAAUUACCCGAGGUGUAUCGCCCGUGACCAUAAUGUCUGUGGUUUGUUUUGUUUUUCAGACACAAUAUAUGUAGAACUACAUUAAACAACACGUUCUUUCCGUUUUUAAAACAAUAAGGAUUUAAUUGAGAUCUGGUUGUUAUUUCUAGAAAUCUCAUCGGCUAUUUAAAAGCCAUCUUAUAGUCUCAUGUUACAUGUACAUAUAGUAUCCCUGAGUGGUGUAACUUCCGUUAUAAGAAGCAGUAAAAGCAUGCUCUUUUACGACUGAGUUUAACUCAAUACGAACGACAAAUUAUCUACGAUAGACUGGCGAACAACAAUAACCUACUGAAAACAGUUAUAUAUUUAUUAUCAGCUUGACUCACGACAUGGGCACCAGAAAUAGAUACAGUGCAGUGCACUGUGGAGGUUCAUAUUCUAUGCACAUGCAAACAAACGAUAACACACGCACACAUUUAGAGGUACAAUAAUUGUUAUUGAUAUCAGAAAUGACAUAACACCUACGCAUUCGUUCGCACAAACGAAUAUAUAUACAUAAGUCUCUGUGUGUGUGUGUGUGUGUGUGUGUGUGUGUGUGUGUGCAUAUGUUUCUGGACACGUGCAUGUGCAUGUGUAUGGUUGAACAUUGAUAAACAUCGCAACAAUAUAUAUAUUGAUAUAUUCUAUUGAUAUAAGUGGCGUAUCUAUCUAUCUAUCUAUCUAUCUAUCUAUCUAUCUAUCUAUCUAUCUAUCUAUCUAUCUAUCUAUCUAUCUAUCUAUCUAUCUAUCUAUCUAUCUAUCUAUCUAUCUAUCUAUCUAUCUAUCUAUCUAUCUAUCUAUCUAUCUAUCUAUCUAAAUAUGAAUACGUGCACUAACGCACACGCACGCACUUAAGACACCUAUCCAUAUUCAAAGAAACACUUAAGACCGUACAAUAUGUACAAUAUAUUAGAAUGGAAAGAAACAUAUUUCGAUUCCACUACAUGUUACAUCGGGCUAGUAUUUUCUACAAUGUUCACGUGAGUGAAAAUGGGAGACAAUAUCUGUAUACAUACAUACAUACAUACAUACAUACAUACAUACAUACAUACUUACAAAUGAAACAUUCAAAUCGUGAUUUAACACCGACAGACGCACGUAUACACACACACACACACACACACACACACACACGCACACACGUAUUACAGGAAUGGAAUGUGGUAUAUGAGUUAUGCUAGAUCUAUUUUGUUAUUUUUCGAUCUCUAGUUUCGAUCUCUAAAUUUACAAACGCUUUCAAUAAUUUAUACAAAAUAUUUUGCUGCUCCCUCAAACAUACACACUUCUAUCUAUCUAUCUAUCUAUCUAUCUAUCUAUCUAUCUAUCUAUCUAUCUAUCUAUCUAUCUAUCUAUCUAUCUAUCUUUCUCUUUUUCUGAGUGUCUGUUUGUCUGUUUCUCUCUCUCUUUCUCUCUCCCUCGCCUCUCUUCCUCAUACACACAUGCACACUUAGACACACAUAUGAAUCAGAACCUCAUAAUUUCCUGGAAAUUUUCAUUUCUAAGAAAUUAGGAAUACAGAAACUAAAAAACUGUGUUCCUGGAAAUUUCCUGAGAAUCAAGUUCAUUCUAUUGAAAUAUAUGUAAAUUUGUGUAGAAAGCAUUAACAUUUUGCGUAAAAAGAAAAUAAAAUUUUCCUGAAGGUUAAAAUCUAUUUCAGUCAGAUUGAUGGUUAGGUACAACAUGGAUUUUCUGGGACCAGACUUGUUUUUCCAGAACCGAAGGUGAUCACCAUUAAAUUAAACAACCAUUAAAUUUACUUAUAUAGUUAAACGAAAUCUGUACAUUAUUAUAUCGAUACAAUACUGUACUGUGCAAGAUACUAGUAUGUACAAGGUAUUAGUAAACUAGUCUGACGGCUGCUUGAAUUUCAAGUCUCAGCUCGUAAAUUAGUACGGACUAUAAAGGUUUUCCAGGCCCUCAGUAUCCGGAAAGUAUUGUCCCGAGAAGCGUAUGUUGGUGUUGUCGGCCAAACUUGAUGGCAAUUUUAUAAAGAGGUGAGAGUAAAGAUUCUCCCACUUUUGAUGGAUAUUAGCGGAAUAAUUCUGAGAGCAACGAACAGUUUCUGAAAGUUUAUAUAUUUCCACGUCCAGUUAUUUCAAAUAUCUUCGAUUGUAACAAUGUUUUUGGAUCAUAGGAUAUUGAAUGCACUUUUGAUUGUUUUUAAGAUUUGUUAGUGACAGCUUUUAAUCCCUAAAGUGAAGACUUUUCUUUUGAUGGAGUGGAUGGUCAUAUAUACGAGUUACUUGUACAUAAGAGUUACUUGUACAUAAGAGUUACUUGUACAUAUGCAUACAUAAAUACAUACAUACAUAUACACAAUGUAUAUACACAUACAUGAAUGCAUAUGUAGAAUUAUGUAUGACUACAUGUAUGUAUGUAUCCAUGUAUAUACACACUCACAAGCACAGAAACACAUACGCAUCUAUUGCUUGAUAAUGAUAGUUGUGUACAAAGCAAACGAAUGGUUGGGUAGGAUAUGGCGCUUAGGGAACAAGAAAAUCAAAAAAAUGUAAAAGCAGGAGAGAAUAAGAAUGAGCAUUGAGCACAAAUAUAUACAAAUUUUGAAAACUUAAAUAAAGUAAUAAAAGCGAUUGCAACUAAGAGGAAGAAAAAUUAAUUAGGCAAAACAUUAGCGAACAUAAAAUUAAUGGAAAAGUAAUUAUAAAAGAUAGAUUGCAAGUUGUCCAAACCGUGCAAGGGAAAUAACUUGGAAAUAUAAAAUAAAAAAUAUAAAAUAUAAAAUGAAAUAGUUAACUUCUUCAAUGUAUGAAGGAAAAGAUGGGGCCAAAAAUUUGACGGCGUUAGAUCUGAUUGUUCAAAGAGCUACCAUUUGAGUUUGGAGACAAAUAAUUAUGAAGUAAAUAUUUAGAAGCGUUUCUACCAUCUAAUAUUGUUUACGGUUCAAGAUUGAACUGAGGAAUGUUUAUACAAUGCAGCUUAGUCAAGACUUUUCCAUGUUGCUUUAAGCGUAGUUGGACUAGAUUCUUUAAAACCCAAUAUAUUUAGGCCAACAUGACACAAAUCUUUUUUCUGAAUGUUAAAAGAAUGGAAAUGCUGUCAAAACCGCAUCUUCAACUUGUUUCCAGUUAAUCCAGUAUAAGAGUUAAUCACAGAGCUUUGUCUAGAUGUUCGCCAGUAAUCAAAUUAAUGCAUUUGAAUGGUAGUUAUAAUUGCAAGGAAAAUUAUUCGGAUACAAAUACAGAUAGGGGCGGAGAGAGAAGAUUGAAAUUGGAGAGCCUUUGUGAACUAAAACAGUUAAUUGAGCAAGCAAACUUUUUAGAGCAAAGAUUCGUGGGAAAGUCUCACUAAUUAAAUCUCGGACUUUUUGGAAAUAUUUGUUUUUACAUUCAAGCUAAAGACUGGUUUAUACCAUAAGGGUAUUUCUUCUAUUCCUAUGCUUAGGGAGAAUGGUGUUGGUAAUAUAUUUAAUUUUAUAUGAAAAGCUCUUGUUGCAAAAUACAUUCUAACAAUGAAAUAUCCGGAGGAUAAUGAAAGCAUAUGUUUAUUAAUAUUUGGAAUUACAUUUCAUGCAAAUCUGAGCGGAUGAUUAGCAUUCUUAUUAGUAUAAAGGGCGGAAUUUAAUUGUAUCUCAGUUGAAAGUGAUAUCUAAAGAUUAGUGUCAAGCUAUAUAAUUUUAAGAUUUUUUAAAAGCUCAUCUCAUCUAAUUCAUGACAAUUUGUAUUGCAUAAGACAGAGAGCCUUUCGUCUCUACAAUGAACUUUUCGCAUGGUAGAAAACAUUUUAUGCAGAGUGAUUUGAAACAUAAAUUGUGAUAAUUUCGCAUAAAUCAGCUUUAUCAUAGGAGGAAUAAAACAAUUCGUAACCGUUUUGUUUACAAUAUAUAGCUGAAAUUUAAAGGGAUAAAAGUCAAUUACUUAGAACUAAAUAAUUUUCAGUGUCGUCUGUCAUUAAUACAAGAACACUGCUGACACAAUAGUUUUCAAUAAGUUAAAAGAUUCAACAUUUUGUAUUUCAAGUAUAAUUGAAUCUGGGGUAUAUUUAGUCACAAGUCCGAGCUCAGUAUUUUGCCGGAUUGAACAACUUGAUUUAAAGCUAGUAGAAAAAUUAAAUUUGUGAUCUUAAAGGAAAUGAAUGGUGUGCGUGGAUCUAAAUAAUCUACUUUGUCGUUUGUAUCAAGACUGGUAGUUAUAACCUUCGUUUCCAUGUUACAAGAAUGGUAUGAAUCAGUUUCAGGGUUAUCAUCAAUGUUGGUGAAUAUCAUUAAAUUAUAGCCUGUUGUAUGAGCCUGUUGUAUGUGCUUUUGUGUAUACCGUGUACGUUUUGGUUUUAUUCAAUGUUGUACGUAUUUUUCUCGUUUCAAAAUCUUCAGAAACCGUUGCAAACAUUCUUGAAUCAUAUUCUCUUUAGCAGAUAGGCAUAAGAGAAAAAGCAAUGCUAAUCUGCUGCUAUCUCUGUAAAAAAAAAACAGAAAGAUAUUCUAGAUAAUCCCAAGCAACAAUCAGGCGAAACUACUAGUUUCACAAAGAGAGCCCUGUGCUUUAACUCCAGGGUCUAUUUACAUAUAACGGUUCAAUGCAUGUUUAUUAAAUAUGUAUAUGUAAACUUAUUUACAAUUUAUCCACACACACACACACACAUAUUUUGAGUACUUUAUGUGUGUGUGUAUGUGUGCGUGCGUGCAUAAUGUGCUUACAGAUACACAUAAUAUAAAUGUGUCUAUGUGAGAAUACAUUGGGCUCUGUUAAGUUAUGUCAUUAAAUUUCCUUUUUGAAAAUAAUUUUGUUUUAUAAAAGUGCGGUCCGUAAUUUUCUUAAAAGUAAUGCCUUUUCUGGCGAAACGAAAUGAUUACAAGCCUAAACUGAGUCAGGGAUAUAGACUUGGCUUUAUGAGAAGUUACUUUUAAUUUGAAUGCUUAUUUUUGGAUGUAUAUGUAUAUAAACAUACAUAACAUUCCAGAAAUAUAUCUACCAAACAUACUUACAAUUAACUGCCACAUUUUUCUGAGAUUUUUAUCAUCUACACUAUCACCUUACCAAGCAGACGAUCAUUUCUAGACAGUAAUAGUGAGAAAAGCGCGCGCAAGUGAUGAGAGACAGCAUCUAAUAUUAUACGCAGUUCUUCUUAUCCAGAACGCUUUACUACCAAUGCAUUACUCUCCUAAAACUAUACUGAUUAUAAUACAUUAGAAGAUAACCUUCAACUGUACUGAUUAUAAUACAUUAGAAGAUAACCUUCAACAGUUGAACCAAUAAGUUGCUAAACCCACUACAAUGACAAAUACAUUCUAACAAUGAAAUAUCCGGAGGAUAAUGAAAGCAUAUGUUUGCUCGACAAAAUAGUUUCUUAUUUCUUUUCAAAUUCAUCAUGAAUUCCUAAAUAGGCACAGACUAAUAUUUAAAGAGUUAUGGAAAGUAAGGUUAUGUGAUGUUCUCAAGGACAUUUGUCGCAUCUAUCUAGAAUUAGCAUAGCUGUAAUCUAGUUCGGAUUUUAAUUUGGAACUAUUAUACUAAUGGCUAUCUGCACACCGAGCAGAAUACAAAGGGUCAAUAUCAUAAGCAAUAGCAACACUGUUUAAUUAACGAGUUUUAAUUUUUUCGUAGUAAUUACUAAAAACCUUACGCUAAAAAUGCUCAAUAUUUUUUUCAGUUUGUUUCUACUUUUCCUGGCGUGACUCGAAACUGGAAAAAAAUUCUUGAUUGAAGAAUUCUCAUAACAAUCUAAUAUACUUAUAUCUAUGUAGAGAUUAAUAAUCCAAUCAUUUAGAAACCUUAAUAAAUCACAGAUAGGCGUCUGGAGACAAAAGUAGUCUUGGAACUUCGUUUGUGUAAAAUGGUUUUAGGGUCUUUCCUUUGACAAAAUACUUAACUCUCUUCUGAUGGCUCCGCUCGCCUAGCUGCAAAUUAGGUGGAAAAAUAAAACAGUUUGAUUGCCAACUUUGACUUAAUAUGUAUCAGAUUUCACUUCAACUCUCGACAAGCUAAAUCUAAACUUCAUCUUGCAAUUAUUAAUACACUGCUGCAAGCAAAGCAUGCAUUUUCACACACACACAUUCGCACGCACGCACGCACGCACGCACGCACGCACGCACGCACGCACGCACGCACGCACACACACACGCACGCACGCAUGCACACACACACACACACACACACACACACACACACACACACACACACACAGAGUACCUGGUUCGGUUCUGGUGAUAAAUCAUUUCCAUUAUUUUACGCAUCUAAUAACCUCGGGCAAAGAAUUAACGUCUCGCAAUCUGCACAACUCUAUAAACCAGAGAAGCGCAUCUGUACACCACUGACGAUGAAAUCUUUCAGCAGUCUUGCAAGAGAGGAGUACAUUGGAGUGGCUUCUCACUUACUUGUCGUGAUCACUUGAGUGUUUUAACUAAGCAUUGCUAGCUGAUAACGCUUGCCAGCUUUAUAAUGGUGUUACGGUAAAAAAAAAUUAUAAUUAGGAGUUCAGUCCCAUUGCGUGGCACCUUGGGCAAGUGUCUUCUACUAUAGCCUUGGGCCGACUAAAGCCUUGUGAGUGGAUUUGGUAGACGGAAACUGAAAGAAGCCCGUCGUAUAUAUAUAUAUAUAUAUAUAUAUAUAUGUGUGUGUGUGUGUGUGUGUAUGUGUGUGUAUAUGAUUGUGUGUCUGUGUUUGUCCCCCCCCCCCAACAUCGCUUGACAACCGAUGCUGGUGUGUUUACGUCCCCGUAACUUAGCGGUUCGGCAAAAGAGACCGAUAGAAUAAGUCCUGGGGUCGAUUUGCUCCAACAUGGCCACAGUCAAAUGACUGAAACAAGUAAAUGAGUAAAUGAGAAUGAGAGUCUGAGAUGCUUCUUUACAUCUAGGUGAUAUAAACCAUUUGAGAUAAUAAGCGUCUUCGACCGACCAUACUACAUCAUGUCCGGUAGCCUCUCUGUUCAGCUUGCCAUGCUAUUCCUCUUUGUGAAGUCUAUAAAUUAAAUACUUAUAAUUCAUUGGUGUUUGAUUAAGUUCUUGCACUACUAAAUCUGUCCCCCACUCCCAAACUGAAUGGAAUUGUAGGAAAACGAUUUACGAAGUAAAUGCUAUAAACGCAACAAGCAAAUUUCAGCUAGGUCGCGAUUGCAAACGAGGCUUCAAUACCCGACUGAAGCUUUUUCACUUCACUUCACGUUAAAGAUGUCGUUACGAAAAGGCUUGAAACUCGAUACCCCUAUUUCUCUUUCCUCUAAACCAAAGAGUAUUUUCUCUCUUUGCCAAAAAGGAAAAAAAAAAAAAAACAGAAGAACAAAUGACGGUUCGUGUUCACACACACGAACACACACACACAAACACUCAGACACAGACACACAUACACACACAGAAUCUGUAUGACUGCUUAUAUUGUUAAUGUAUAGGUGUUGUGCAUUGCGGUAUAGUGUGAUGUAGUAACGUUAUUCUGUGUAUAAGAUUGCCCUGAAAAUGUGUAGUACUGUGUUGCUGUUAGUGUUUAGCUCCAGCUCAGCGCUCAUAUCACACUUCAAGCCAAAGAUGUUCCAGCCAUGACCAUCCCGGUUUUUUCUUGUAAAUCUAAGACUACAAUAUUUAAUAUAAUCUUAUUUUCUCAAGUCGGUUGGCGUGUGUUAUGAGGGAAAUUUCUAGCAGGCUGAGAGGGUUUUCACUUAAGUACGUGUUGUGUCUAGGAAUGUAUACAGUGAGUGUGUGUGUGGGGGGUGGGGUGGGGGAGGUAAUGUCGCGUAUAGUAUAGUAUAGUAUAGCAUAAUAUAUGAUAUAGUGCUGUGCAUAGUAUAGCAGUGACAUGUAAAAUAUUACUAUAAGGGGUAGGUGUUGAAAAGUUCCUAGUUUUGUGUAAAAGAAAAUACAGGAGGAUCAGUUAAUUAUGAUUUUAUUCAACAUAUUCCUUUUUCAGAUUCACACACUUAUUGCAGCGGUCUUUCUGUUUUCCCAAUCCCUGUAAAAGAACUCGGAAGGUCGGGCUUCCAACCAGGCCUUUAGCGAUACCCUUAAAACCAGGAACUUUUCAACACCCCCUCGUAGUUUAGCGUUAGUAUAACAUAGCGUCGUAUUGUGUAUACUAUAUAUAGUUUAAUACCGUGCUAUAUACAAUAUAUUGAAGCAUCGCGAUAGAGUAGUAUAAUGUGUAUAGUAUAGUGUUGAGUUGUGUAUAGUUGUGUAUGAUGCAUUGUCAAGUGUGUUGUUGUGUAUAACAUGAUGUAGUUUUGUGUGUAGUAUUCUAUAUAGUGUUGUGUCAUACUGUGUAUAGUGUUGCCUAUAGUGUGGUGUAGUUAUAUAAUUAAAUAAGGAGCGUUACGUCUCGUAGUGAGGCUUAAACUUGAUAAGGACAUUAAUAAACGACUUUGUCGGACUUUUAUCUAUUUCUCGUAAAGCUG